AGCCCCUUUCGUCGAUCCGAGCGCUUCGCUCAACAACAACAUUAUUAUGAGAAUUUAUCCUCAAAGGCAUAUGUGGCUCAUCUCCCAUCGAGAUUCCGUCAUCUACCAAUGUCGCAAUGAAUAAUUUACUCUCAAGGACCCUUCCUGGCAUGGGUUUAGUGGAAAGACAUGCAUCAGAUACGCCGGAGAAAUUUCCGGGCGGAGAGAAGGUCGCGUUGGUGGGGCAUUUUGAUAUUCUGAAACGCACAGAGCUCUAAAAAAAAAAUAAAAAUAAAAAUAAAAGAUUAAAAAUAAGGGUGGUAACGAACCGAAAGUCGACGCACUUAUUAUUUUCUCCGAACUGAAGAAUGCGAGGUGGGACCCACAACCGUUUGGGUGGUGACAUGUGGUAGGUUGGCGAUUCGGAGAAUCAACACUGACCGGGGCCCGGGGGGUUGUUUAAUUUCUGAUGAACCAGGCCGUCGAUCGGCGAAUUCCUGAAGAGGUAAGGAAGCCUUUUUUUAGAGAUGGGAAUGCCUGUCAUCAGGGCCCUUGCCAGUGUGUGAACCAUCUGUAGCGUUGUUGAGGGACGGAGCCCCAGACCUGCAGAGCC
rnacentral:sRNA from 2 species